AAGUCGUAACAAGGUUUCCGUAGGUGAACCUGCGGAAGGAUCAUUAUUGAAUACGAUUGGUACUGAUGCUGGCUCUUCACUGAGCAUGUGCUCGUGCCGUCUAUUUAUCUUCUCUUGUGCACAUCUUGUAGCUUUGGAUUCGAAUAUGCGCAGUCUAACUGCGGUUUGAGAGCUGAGCUUAACCCGCUCUUCUCUUGUCAGUCCAAGGCUAUGUUUUCAUAUACACUAUAAAGUUACAGAAUGUCUUUUAACGAUUGCGCUUGUCGUAGUCAUUAAACCUAUACAACUUUCAGCAACGGAUCUCUUGGCUCUC
rnacentral:misc_RNA from 1 species